rnacentral:rRNA from 1 species
CAAGUCGAACGGCAGCGCAGCAGUAGCAAUACUGUGGGCGGCGAGUGGCGGACGGGUGAGGAAUACAUGGGAAUCUGCCCUGUCGUGGGGGAUAACGUAGGGAAACUUACGCUAAUACCGCAUACGACCGGAAGGUGAAAGCGGCGGACCGCAAGGCGUCGCGCGACUGGAUGAGCCCAUGUCGGAUUAGCUAGUUGGCGGGGUAAAGGCCCACCAAGGCGACGAUCCGUAGCUGGUCUGAGAGGAUGAUCAGCCACACUGGAACUGAGACACGGUCCAGACUCCUACGGGAGGCAGCAGUGGGGAAUAUUGGACAAUGGGCGCAAGCCUGAUCCAGCCAUGCCGCGUGAGUGAAGAAGGCCUUCGGGUUGUAAAGCUCUUUUGUCCGGAAAGAAAAGCCUUCGGUUAAUACCCGGGGGUGAUGACGGUACCGGAAGAAUAAGCACCGGCUAACUUCGUGCCAGCAGCCGCGGUAAUACGAAGGGUGCAAGCGUUACUCGGAAUUACUGGGCGUAAAGCGUGCGUAGGUGGUUCGUUAAGUCUGAUGUGAAAGCCCUGGGCUCAACCUGGGAAUGGCAUUGGAAACUGGCGACCUAGAGUGCGGUAGAGGGUAGUGGAAUUCCCGGUGUAGCAGUGAAAUGCGUAGAGAUCGGGAGGAACAUCCGUGGCGAAGGCGACUACCUGGACCAGCACUGACACUGAGGCACGAAAGCGUGGGGAGCAAACAGGAUUAGAUACCCUGGUAGUCCACGCCCUAAACGAUGCGAACUGGAUGUUGGGUGCAACUAGGCACUCAGUAUCGAAGCUAACGCGUUAAGUUCGCCGCCUGGGGAGUACGGUCGCAAGACUGAAACUCAAAGGAAUUGACGGGGGCCCGCACA